AACUUUCAACAACGGAUCUCUUGGUUCUGGCAUCGAUGAAGAACGCAGCGAAAUGCGAUAAGUAAUGUGAAUUGCAGAAUUCAGUGAAUCAUCGAAUCUUUGAACGCACAUUGCGCCCGCCAGUAUUCUGGGCGGGCAUGCCUGUCCGAGCGUCAUUU
rnacentral:rRNA from 1 species